rnacentral:tRNA from 1 species
GGCAAGAUGGCCGAGUGGUCUAAGGCGCACGGUUCAGGCAUACCAAGCUGGACCUUAUUCUUGAUACGUGUUCGUAUCAAAGGUUUCCGUGUCUCGAAAGGGACGAGGGUUCGAAUCCCUCUCUUGUCA